GAGCUAGGAGCCUCCUCCUGGAGAGAAGUCUUCCUACACUUGCACUGCCAGCCUAGACACAUCAAUGAGGCCUUUCCAAGCUCUCUGGCUGGAUUCCUCCUGGUGCCCCAGGCUGGGUGACACAAUUUGCAGACUCCUCUCUGUUGCUCUCACAUUUUAAAUUGCAUGCACUUCAGCCUGACCACAAAUGCAGCAGAACUAUUCUAUCAGGAGUAAAGCAAUGGUCCAGAAAAUGCCACAUGGAAGCAGCUGUAACAACACCAGUGGUGGUGUCCCAGGAGGGAAGGACAAGUUUUUCAGCAGGAGGUUCUGUGUCUCAUUGUGCUGUUGCAUCCUGUGUUACCAUGGGCACUUGGACCUGGACUCAUUCUCAUUCUGACAAGAUUAGAACAUCUUCCCUGAGAUCCUUGUACAAUGGGAGAGCCUCUUGGAGAGUAUGCUUUGCAAGAAGAUGCAAAAAGACCCCCCAGUCUUCAUCUCUGUGUUUGCCUGGACCAGCCUGCUCGGGUUUCCCUAUUGAGAGCCCUCCUGAACCAUCCAAGUGCACGUCACUGGGCUGCAGGAGGAACCUCUGGUUAUGGCACGUUCUGAAGGCAGCUCGCCCAGGGCAGGCAGGAGGGAGGAGAGG
rnacentral:lncRNA from 12 species